GCCCGCACCAGUGCCACUGAUUAUCGAUGGAGAGACCGUCCCCGCUGAGAUUGUGGAGGGAUAUAAGAGAUGAUCGCGCAUUGCAACAAGCAUCGUUCAGUAGCUGUCCGCUGCAGCAGGUUUGGCUGUGCUGCUAAGGUUCCUCCCG